CCUACGGGAGGCAGCAGUCGAGAAUCAUUCACAAUGGGGGAAACCCUGAUGGCGCGACGCCGCGUGGGGGAAUGAAGGUCUGCGGAUUGUAAACCCCUGUCAUGUGGGAGCAAAUUAAAAAGAUAGUACCACAAGAGGAAGAGACGGCUAACUCUGUGCCAGCAGCCGCGGUAAUACAGAGGUCUCAAGCGUUGUGCGGAAUCACUGGGCGUAAAGCGUGCGUAGGCGGUUUCGUAAGUCGUGUGUGAAAGGCGCGGGCUCAACCCGCGGACGGCACAUGAUACUGCGAGACUAGAGUAAUGUAGGGGGAACCGGAAUUCUCGGUGUAGCAGUGAAAUGCGUAGAUAUCGAGAGGAACACUCGUGGCGAAGGCGGGUUCCUGGACAUUAACUGACGCUGAGGCACGAAGGCCAGGGGAGCGAAAAGGAUUAGAUACCCGUGUAGUC
rnacentral:rRNA from 1 species